rnacentral:rRNA from 1 species
AUGUGAUCGUCUCUCGCAUAUCAAUAAGCGGAGGAAAAGAAACUAACAAGGAUUCCCCUAGUAACGGCGAGUGAAGCGGGAAGAGCUCAAAUUUGAAAUCUUAAAGGGUUUCCCUUUACGAAUUGUAGUUUAAAGAAGUGUUUUCUGUUGAGGUUUUGGUAAAAGUUCUUUGGAAUAGGACAUCAUAGAGGGUGAGAAUCCCGUAUUUGACCUUUACUUUCAACUUUGUGAUACACUUUCAAAGAGUCGGAUUGUUUGGGAAUGCAGUCCCAAAAUGGGUGGUAAAUUUCAUCUAAAGCUAAAUAUUGGCGAGAGACCGAUAGCGAACAAGUACCGUGAGGGAAAGAUGAAAAGAACUUUGAAAAGAGAGUUAAACAGUACGUGAAAUUGUCAAAAGGGAAGCGUUUGACACCAGUGUUGUUUUUCUGAAAAUCAAUUAAAGAACUGUUUAUGCUAAGCUGUUUAGACUUUAUCAGCUAUCUGUUUAGUUUUGAGCUUUUCUUUAAUGCACUUUUCAGUUAACAAGUCAACAUCAAUUUCUUUUGCUGUAAAAAAGGCUUGAGGAAGGUGGCUUGAGAUUCGUCUUAAGUGUUUAUAGCCUCUUGCCUAUGCAGUCGGAGAGAUUGAGGUCUGCAGCGUAGAUCCUUCGGGGCUAAAUGCAUUUGUGCUAAGUUAUAGCAUUUUAUAGACAACUUGUUGACUAUGAUUUGUCUUGUAGCUUACUCGCUUAUGUUAUUUUACCUACGCUUAGGAUGUUGAGUCGUAGAGCACGCAG